CAAUAGCGUAUAUUAAAGUUGUUGCGGUUAAAAAGCUCGUAGUUGGAUUUCUGCCGAGGACGACCGGUCCGCCCUCUGGGUGAGUAUCUGGCUCGGCCUGGGCAUCUUCUUGGAGAACGUAGUUGCACUUGACUGUGUGGUGCGGUAUCCAGGACUUUUACUUUGAGGAAAUUAGAGUGUUUCAAGCAGGCUUACGCCUUGAAUACAUUAGCAUGGAAUAAUAAGAUAGGACCUCGGUUCUAUUUUGUUGGUUUCUAGAGCUGAGGUAAUGAUUAAUAGGGAUAGUUGGGGGCAUUCGUAUUUAACUGUCAGAGGUGAAAUUCUUGGAUUUGUUAGAGACGGACUACUGCGAAAGCAUUUGCCAAGGAUGUUUNCAUUGA
rnacentral:rRNA from 1 species